rnacentral:lncRNA from 1 species
AUUUUUUUCUGUUCUCUUGUUGUUGUGGUUUGUUUCUACUUAAUUUUUUGUUGUUAUUAUUUACCAAUUUUUAUGUUGAUGGUUGUAUUAUUAUAUGUGCACUAUUGAUGUUUGAACAUUGAUUUAAAAAAAGAAAAAGAAAAAAAAAAAAAAAAAAUUGGUCUUACGAUGACGUAACCCGUCAGGCGACGAAAUCCCUGCACUAUAAUUGGCCAAGACACAAGUCAAUCAUAACGCCCGUCUCGGUCUCUUCCGGCUGUGUGUCAGCCCUUCUGCAGCAGCAGCAGCAGCAUCCCUGCCAAAGAGAAGCGAAAUCCAGCCAGCAUCACAGGUGUCUCUGUUUCGGACGUGGUUGUUUUAACAGGUCUCUAGAGACAAGAAAAGGCAAAGAGAGACCAUGUUUUAGAGACCCCCGUGUUGGCAGCCCAUUCUCUACAAUGAACAAUGAAGAUGAGUUCUAUGAUGCCGUCACAGGUGAGACAUUUUCAUGGCACGUGAUGGUAGAGCUGCUACAAAAAAAUAAUCAGUAGUUUAGGUAUUUAAUUAAGUGUCCAUCUUUGUCUAUUCUCACUGCUUUUUUGCAACUGUUUAGCAUCGUAAUCACAGACAUUGUGCACAUUAUUGUAGUGGUUUGAGUCAAAAAGGUACCAAAUAUUAAAUCCUAAAAGAGGUUAACUGCUAGAUUCGUGAUCAGAAGUUGUUUAUAACGUCACCUCUGUGACACAAGCUCGUCAUGAAACCAUUGCCAUUCUCUCAGCACUAUCCAAGUUCACACACAGCAGCAUUAAACAGCUGUGUUUUCUGAGGACGAUCUCAUUUGUCCCCUAUUGUGAGUGUUUUGGCCACUGUUGAUUUGGCCUUCAGUCUUGUGUGUUCAUGCAACGCAGCAAGCUGUUCUGGUGUCCGCUUACCACCGUCUGUUGAUGGCUUCAAUUAUGUGGUGCUGUGUUCAGAUGGUCUGAUGG